UACGAAGGGGGCUAGCGGUGUUCGGAAUUACUGGGCGUAACGCGCACGUAGGCGGACUCUUAAGUCAGGGGUGAAAUCCCGGGGCUCAACCUCGGAACUGCCUUUGAUACUGGGAGUCUCGAGACCGGAAGAGGUGAGUGGAAUUCCUAGUGUAGAGGUGAAAUUCGUAGAUAUUAGGAAGAACACCAGUGGCGAAGGCGGCUCACUGGUCCGGUUCUGACGCUGAGGUGCGAAAGCGUGGGGAGCAAACAGG
rnacentral:rRNA from 1 species